AAAAUAGCUCAGUCGGCAGAGCAACGCUCUCGUAAAGCGUAGGUCAGGGGUUCGAUUCCCCUUUUUG
rnacentral:tRNA from 1 species